CCGCUGUCGACGAAAUAUUUGCAACGCUUUUUAUAGUACGUGUACAGCGGCAUUCGAAAGGUCCCAGCAAUUUUCCAAGUACGAUGAGAAACUGGUUCAGCGAUAUGCCAUUUUGGACGAGUAGUUUCUUCAUUUUUACGAUUCUGUUGGCAACAACGUUAACGUUGUCGAAAUGCGAGGCAAUGGACGAUCCAAAUGUAUUGGCAUCUUCGCGAACCGAGAUGCGAGCGGACAAGGAACUCGACUUUAGGUAUAUAAUUGACGUUCCACUACGUCGAUGUCCUAAACAUCAGAAAAGGGAUCACUUGGGAAAGUGCAGAGACAUCUUGUGAGUAUGCUGUUACACCUCCGAACAUUUACGUCAGCUUUGGAUAAAUUACAGAAAAAAAUGGAGUUCCUACGAACGGUUGCGAGCUUGCAGCGACAAAAAUCCUGGAUCUACUUGCGAUAAUUUUCACCUCACGAAUAUUUUCCUCUCUCUUAUGUUUGUAGCUACGAUGAAAUAAAUCAUUUCAAA